CUUGUGCAAGACAGAACUCACCUCUUUUCUUGCAGAAAGACCUGGAGCGUUUGGCGCCUUCAGGGGAGCCAGGCAUUUGCUUGGUCUCCCCUAAUCCUGGGAACCUGCUGUGUUGCAGAUGAGGCUUCUCCCGCCCGUGUGGCAGGGCUGGCCGCUGACACCCCUCCCUGGCAGAUGGGGGCUUAUCCCACAGACCUGACCCUGCAGCUGCUGGCUGUGUGGAGGAAGAGCGGGCUAUAGGAACCCGGCCUACAGCAGACCCUCCGGGGCCAGCUCCGCCUGCUGGAGAAUGACAGCCGGGAGAUGGCCUGCGUGCUCAGGGAAUUAUCAGCCAGGCUGCUGUCGAUCCACAGUGACCAGGACCGGAUCGUGGUGACGUUUAAGGCUUUUGAAGAAAUCUGGAAGUUUUCCACUUACCACGCUCUUGGCUUCACUCAUCACUGCCUGGCAAACCUGCUUAUGGACCAGGCCUUCUGGCUGCUCUCGCCCAGUGAGGAGGAGGAGACGGCCAUCCAAGUCCAUGUGGAUGAGAACGCCUUGAGGCUGACCCACGAGAGCCUCCUUGUCCAAGAAGGACCCUUCUUUGUCCUGUGUCCUGACCACCAUGUGAGAGUGAUGAUGGGUCCCCGGGAUGCAGGAAAUGGCCCUCAGGCAGGCUUCAGGGGCUCCCCAGGGAGAGGCGGCCCCGGAAGCAGACUCUUCACCACCGAGCCCCAGCGUGUCCUCCGAGGAGGUGGCAGAGGCAGCCGCCCCGGAGCCUUUGAUUCCGUUUCAUUAGUAGGUACCGGCCUUUGCUGCUCUGAGAGCUGUUGGCCUCCCUGAGACUCCCAGGCCUGGGUCAUCUGGAGGUCAAGGGGAUGGACAGGGAAUGGUGGGAGCCCCGGACAGACCUGGCCAUGGACUUGUUCUGCUGCUUCCCAGCUGUGUGGCCUUGGCAAGUUGGCCACCUGUCUGAGCCUCUGGCCUGCCAGCUGCAUGAUAGGCCAAUGACAUCCACCUGGCAGGGCUAUCCUGGGGUUCGAUGGCACAGGAGAUGUGGCAUGAGCUCUCACCAGACUCAUCCAAAAAGCUUUUGAGGAAGUUACAUAAAACAUGUGUACCCAGAGUGAGAAGUCACAGGGGACCUGGGGUAGAGCCAGGGGAUGUGAG
rnacentral:lncRNA from 1 species